UUCAGUAUGGCAGAGUAGUGCAAUGAACUUAAGAUUCUUAUAUAAAUUUUAUUUUGCUGACA
rnacentral:tRNA from 1 species